rfam:Branchiostoma floridae genomic scaffold BRAFLscaffold_174, whole genome shotgun sequence.
AUACCGGCCCUUUUCAGGGCCACCCACUUCAUCCAGAAAGUGCUGU